AUGGUAGAGAAGAGGGAGAGGGCGGAGGAGGCGUCCGAGAGCUCGCAGAAAUCCCCGCGCCUGGACCCGCUGGCUGCGGCUGGUUCUGGAUGCAGCGACGCGCCAGCGUCGCCGACGGAGUCGAGCGAGUGGCCAUCGGCCGGGGAAGCGGAGGCGGGGACCAGCAGCGACAGUACCGGCGACAGCGGGCGGUGCGAGCACAUAAGUUUGGACCGCGACCUCCUGCUUAGGGCCGUGUAUGAUCUCACCGAGCAGCGGGCGGUGAGACGGACUUGCCUUCUGCCUAAGUGCAAGACGACCUGGAAUGGCGACGAAGGGAUCAUGAAGUGCAUAGACUGCUCCAAGUUCUUUUGCUCUGGGUGGUCGGUGGAGAGGGAAAGUCCGCAGGGACAUGCCCUCUGGCACGCCGGCGAGAACCAGCACUGGGUUGCUCAGCGAUGCGAUGAACCGAAUUUGGGAUACUGCUUCUUGUGUGCACGCCUUAUGAGGCUCACUGACCUGACCAAAGAUGGCUAUCGAGUGGCGGCCAGAAAGGAAAAGGAUCAGCAAGGGCUGGGGGAUAGCGUUGCAAAGGAUGGCUGGGGAACGGGGUCCGGCAUUGCAAAGGGCGAGUGGGAACCAGAGACUAGCUAUUCAAAGGAUGAGUCCGCCAUGGAGCCAGCUAGCCUUGCAAAUGAUCUAUGUGCCACCGCUAGAAAGGAUGACUGGCAAAGGGUGCCCAGCAUUGCAAUGGACGAUGAUGCGUCUGGGUAUGCUAAUGGCGAUGGUUACGUUAUCAGAGGGAUACCGAACCUUGGGCAAACAUGUUACAUGAAUGCAACGCUGCAGUGCCUCCUUGCCCUUGGUAAGCUGAGGACAAUGAUUCAAAGUCCGGCUGCUCAUUUGGGGAGCAUUGGUCUGCACCUGCAGCAGUUUUUCCAAGAGACACUUGUGAAUGAUGCCAGACACACGCUGAACCCACGGAUGAUACUGCAAGCUAUGCAUGAGCAUUAUCCGAAUCGGUUCUUGGUCUGGAAUAUGGAAGACAGCCAUGAGUUCCUUAUGUCUUUAUUCAAUGCUGUGGAUGCGGAGGUGGAGCAGCAAAACAGAAUGCAUGUCUUGAAAGGGGGUGAAGUAUUCCCUACACUUAACGUUUCUCUUUUCAGAGGCCAGCUGUUCGAGACAACGUCCUGCCAAAGAUGCUGGUAUAAUGAUACUAAAACCGUUGAUUUCGGUGAACUCUAUUUGUCACUUCCAGAGAAGGAUCCUCCAGCCAGAAGCGUUGCAUCAACACCAAGGAAUAAAAGCCACGGAUCUCAAACUGACAAGAGUGAUGGGGAUAAUAAGAUGCAAACAGCUGCUCCAGGCAGCACUUCUCAGUUUCCCGGUUCAGAAUUGGGAGAUGGGGCAAUGGAGAAAACCCCCAGGCCUUUGCAAGUUGAAUGCAGGAACAUGCGGAAUUGUGUGAUCUACUAG
rnacentral:rRNA from 1 species